GCAAGUCGAACGGUAACAGGAAAGUUUUCGGAAUUUUUGCUGACGAGUGGCGCACGGGUGAGUAACGCGUACACAAUCUACCUAUCACAGAGGGAUAGCCUUUAGAAAUGAAGAAUAAUACCUCAUAGUAUAUACUAACCGCAUGGUUUGGUAUAUUAAAGUUCCGGCGGUGACAGAUGAGUGUGCGUUAGAUUAGCUAGUUGGUAAGGUAAUGGCUUACCAAGGCGACGAUCUAUAGGGGGCGUGAGAGCGUGAUC
rnacentral:rRNA from 1 species